GCAUAUCAAUAAGCGGAGGAAAAGAAACUAACAAGGAUUCCCCUAGUAACUGCGAGUGAAGCGGGAAAAGCUCAAAUUUAAAAUCUGAUGGUCUUUAUGGCCUUCCGAGUUGUAAUCUAGAGAAGUGCUAUCCGCGCUGGACCGUGUACAAGUCUCCUGGAACGGAGCGUCAUAGAGGGUGAGAAUCCCGUCUUUGCCACGGACUACCA
rnacentral:rRNA from 1 species